rnacentral:pre_miRNA from 1 species
UUGGAGGAUUUGAAGACUUCAACUUGUUUACUUGGAGGAUUUGAAGACUUCAACUUGCAUACUUGGAGGAUUUAUAGACUUCUACC